rnacentral:lncRNA from 1 species
UCGUUCCAAUGAGAAUGAAGGCUGAGGUGUGCGCCUUUUUUUUUUUUUCCUUCUUAGUCGUGUGUACAUCAUUGGGAAUGGAGGGAAAUAAAUGACUGGAUGGUCGCUGCUUUUUAAGUUUCAAAUUGACAUUCCAGACAAGCGGUGCCUGAGCCCGUGCCUGUCUUCAGAUCUUCACAGCACAGUUCCUGGGAAGGUGGAGCCACCAGCCUCUCCUUGGGCAAAGAGGCAGAGGAAUGGAGCUCAGAGCUUUUAGAGAAUAUGGGCCAGAAACAGGAAGGAGUCAGGACCUGAUAACGGGAACCAGCGGACAGUGAACGCAGUGGAGGGCCACUGGGGCCGGAGCAGCCGAGAGAUUUCAGGAGAAUAACUGGGAGAUGAAACAGGAAGCUCUAUGACACACUUGAUCGAAUAUGACAGACACCGAAAAUCACGACUCAGCCCCCUCCAGCACCUCUACCUGUUGCCCGCCGAUCACAGCCGGAAUGCAGCUGAAAGAUUCCCUGGGGCCUGGUUCCAACCGCCCACUGUGGACUCUGAGGCCUCUGCAUUUGCGGGUGGUCUGCCUGUGAUAUUUUGGUCAUGGGCUGGUCUGGUCGGUUUCCCAUUUGUCUGGCCAGUCUCUAUGUGUCUUAAUCCCUUGUCCUUCAUUAAAAGCAAAACUAAAGAAAACAGAA